GUAGUUCCCUUUGUAUAUUUAUUUGUCCUCUUCUCAUGUGGAGGAGGCUCGGAGCAAGAUUUCUUAAAAUCAGCUAAGAUUUAUGACGAGGGGUUGAAUUGAAUGCUCAUGAUGAGUCCAAGGGCAACAGAGAGGAAGAGGAAGUAGAGAAAUAAUAAACAAAAGCAAUAAAAAACCUGACAGAGCUUGAGGUUGAUGGGAAAGACCUACGAGAGAGAAUUUCAAGACAUAUCCAAGCCAAGGUAUCAAAUUCUAACAAGGAGAAAUAUGCUAAUUAUUUUUUAGGGUUAAAGAAUGCUGAAUGAAUGCUUUUAUUUAAAGAGUGGUAUGCUACGAAGCAACUCGAUAUUCUACAGAGAGAAAUACAGGAUGCCCAUGAGGAUUCUAAGAACUUGGAGACGGUGCUCAAAGAUCUUACAAAAGAAGUUCAAAAAUUUAGCAGAGAGCAAGAGGAAGCAGAGAGAUGAUAAACAGAACGAUAAAAAAGCAG
rnacentral:lncRNA from 1 species